GUAGUCUGCAACUCGACUACAUGAAGCUGGAAUCGCUAGUAAUCGCGGAUCAGAAUGCCGCGGUGAAUACGUUCCCGGGUCUUGUACACACCGCCCGUCACACCAUGGGAGUUGGGAAUGCCCGAAGCCGGUGACCUAACCGAGAGGGAGGAGCCGUCGAAGGCAGGUCUGAUGACUGGGGUGAAGUCGUAACAAGGUAAC
rnacentral:rRNA from 1 species